UAUAAAACAUUAUCACAAUCGCGGGCACACAGCGAUAAGGGAACCUCGAGGGCCAGGUUAAAAAAGGGGUGUCGAGAUGCCUAAAAAGCAUUUCAUACCCAGGGCGGGGCAAGACCGGGGCCAGCCGCCGCGGUAACACCGGCGGCUCGGGUGGUAACCGUUAUUAUUGGGUCUAAAGGGUCUGUAGCCGGCCGGAUAAGUCUCUUGAGAAAUCUGGCAGCUUACCUGUCAGGUUUUCAGGAGAUACUGUCUGGUUCGAGGCCGGGAGAGGUGAGAGGAACUUCAGGGGUAGGGGGGAAAUCUUGUAAUCCUUGAGGGACCACCAGGGGGGAAGGCGUCUCCCCAAAAGGAACCUGACGGAAAGGGACAAAAGCUAGGGGCCCAACCCGAAUUAAUAACCCGGGAAGUCUUAGCGGUAAACGAUACUCGCUAGGGGUCGGCCACGGGGCGACCGUUGUCGGUGCCCAAGGGAAGCCUUAAAGCGAGCCACCUGGAAAGUA
rnacentral:rRNA from 1 species